rnacentral:tRNA from 1 species
GCUUGGGCUUGGUAGCCGAGUGGGUAAAAGCGCUUAUAGCUAUUUACUCGGUACCGAAUAUCGAUGGUUCGAAUCCAUCCCGGAGCA